GCUUCAACUAAAACAUCUCAUUAUGUGUUGGAGCUGAUGUGGAGAUUACACACAUAAACCAAGAAUCUGUAAUUCUGUGAAUUAAUUCUCUGAAGUUGGAUUGGAUGAGAGUCUAGAGCUGGGCCCAGUUUGGAUGUAGGGUGCUAUUGAAGGAAUGACAUGGAACCAGAAAGCGUAUAUUUAAAAUGACAUUCUGUGGUGCAAACAGCCACUGUUGCUGUCACCUGUUGAGGAGGAAGUUUGGGCUGACUAUCACACUAUAUAAAAAAGGUCACAAAGAUCCUCUUCCCCGCCUGCAUUCUGAAGGACCUGAGCCCUAGGACCAUGCCCCAGGACUACCUGACAUGAUGACUCCUUGCUGUCCCCAGUCCACCUGGCCGUGCUGCUGCUCCAGUUUCAAGUGUUCUGCCUUAUUAUUAUUCGACCAUGCAGGUCAUUUAUGAACAUUUGAACAUCUUGGCCAUGUUCUGUUAUAAUCUCCACCCGGCACAGCCAGAAGAGGACUGGCCACCCCACAUAGCCUGGUUCCUC
ensembl:lncRNA